UGCAGUCGAGCGGUAGCACAGAGAGCUUGCUCUCGGGUGACGAGCGGCGGACGGGUGAGUAAUGUCUGGGAAACUGCCUGAUGGAGGGGGAUAACUACUGGAAACGGUAGCUAAUACCGCAUAACGUCGCAAGACCAAAGAGGGGGACCUUCGGGCCUCUUGCCAUCAGAUGUGCCCAGAUGGGAUUAUCUAUUAGGUGGGGUAACGGCUCACCUAGGCGACGAUCCCUAUCUGGUCUGAGAGGAUGACCAGCCACACUGGAACUGAGACACGGUCCAGACUCCUACGGGAGGCAGCAGUGGGGAAUAUUGCGCAAUGGGCGCAAGCCUGAUGCAGCCAUGCCGCGUGUAUGAAAAAGGCCUUCGGGUUGUAAAGUACUUUCAGCGGGGAGGAAGGCGAUAAGGGUAAUAACCUUGUCGAUUGACGUUACCCGCAGAAAAAACACCGGCUAACUCCGUGCCAGCAGCCGCGGUAAUACGGAGGGUGCAAGCGUUAAUCGGAAUUACUGGGCGUAAAGCGCACGCAGGCGGUCUGUCAAGUCGGAUGUGAAAUCCCCGGGCUCAACCUGGGAACUGCGUUCGAAACUGGCAGGCUAUAGUCUUGUAUAGGGGGGUAGAAUUCCAGGUGUAGCGGUGAAAUGCGUAGAGAUCUGGAGGAAUACAGGUGGCGAAGGCGGCCCCCUCGGACAAAGACUGACGCUCACGUGCGAAAGCGUGGGGAGCAAACAGGAUUAUAUACCCUGUUAGUCCACGCCGCAAACGAUGUCGACUUGUAGAUUGUGCCCUUGAG
rnacentral:rRNA from 1 species